AGCGUACACGGUGGAUGCCCUGGCAGUCAGAGGCGAUGAAGGACGUGCUAAUCUGCGAAAAGCGCCGGUAAGGUGAUAUGAACCGUUACAGCCGGCGAUGUCCGAAUGGGGAAACCCAGUGUGAUUCGUCACACUAUCUCAGCAUGAAUACAUAGUGCUGUGAGGCGAACCGGGGGAACUGAAACAUCUAAGUACCCCGAGGAAAAGAAAUCAACCGAGAUUCCCCCAGUAGCGGCGAGCGAACGGGGAACAGCCCAGAGCCUGAAUCAGCUUGUGUGUCAGUGGAACGGUCUGGAAAGGCCGGCGAUACAGGGUGACAGCCCCGUACACGAAGGCACACAGGCUGUGAGCUCGAUGAGUAGGGCGGGACACGUGAUAUCCUGUCUGAAGAUGGGGGGACCAUCCUCCAAGGCUAAAUACUCCUGACUGACCGAUAGUGAACCAGUACCGUGAGGGAAAGGCGAAAAGAACCCCGGCGAGGGGAGUGAAACAGAACCUGAAACCGUGUACGUACAAGCAGUGGGAGCCUUCGUAAGAGGGUGACUGCGUACCUUUUGUAUAAUGGGUCAGCGACUUAUAUUCUGUAGCAAGGUUAACCGUAUAGGGGAGCCGAAGGGAAACCGAGUCUUAAUUGGGCGUUAAGUUGCAGGGUAUAGACCCGAAACCCGGUGAUCUAGCCAUGGGCAGGUUGAAGGUUGGGUAACACUAACUGGAGGACCGAACCGACUAAUGUUGAAAAAUUAGCGGAUGACCUGUGGCUGGGGGUGAAAGGCCAAUCAAACCGGGAGAUAGCUGGUUCUCCCCGAAAGCUAUUUAGGUAGCGCCUCGUGAACUCAUCUUCGGGGGUAGAGCACUGUUUCGGCUAGGGGGCCAUCCCGGCUUACCAACCCGAUGCAAACUACGAAUACCGAAGAAUGUUAUCACGGGAGACACACGGCGGGUGCUAACGUCCGUCGUGAAGAGGGAAACAACCCAGACCGCCAGCUAAGGUCCCAAAGUCAUGGUUAAGUGGGAAACGAUGUGGGAAGGCACAGACAGCCAGGAUGUUGGCUUAGAAGCAGCCAUCAUUUAAAGAAAGCGUAAUAGCUCACUGGUCGAGUCGGCCUGCGCGGAAGAUGUAACGGGGCUAAACCAUGCACCGAAGCUGCGGCAGCGACACUAUGUGUUGUUGGGUAGGGGAGCGUUCUGUAAGCCUGCGAAGGUGUGCUGUGAGGCAUGCUGGAGGUAUCAGAAGUGCGAAUGCUGACAUAAGUAACGAUAAAGCGGGUGAAAAGCCCGCUCGCCGGAAGACCAAGGGUUCCUGUCCAACGUUAAUCGGGGCAGGGUGAGUCGACCCCUAAGGCGAGGCCGAAAGGCGUAGUCGAUGGGAAACAGGUUAAUAUUCCUGUACUUGGUGUUACUGCGAAGGGGGGACGGAGAAGGCUAUGUUGGCCGGGCGACGGUUGUCCCGGUUUAAGCGUGUAGGUGUGUGUUCCAGGUAAAUCCGGUUCACUUUAACACUGAGGCGUGAUGACGAGGCACUACGGUGCUGAAGUAACAAAUGCCCUGCUUCCAGGAAAAGCCUCUAAGCAUCAGGUAACACGAAAUCGUACCCCAAACCGACACAGGUGGUCAGGUAGAGAAUACCAAGGCGCUUGAGAGAACUCGGGUGAAGGAACUAGGCAAAAUGGUGCCGUAACUUCGGGAGAAGGCACGCUGACAUGUAGGUGAAGCCCCUGCGGGUGGAGCUGAAGUCAGUCGAAGAUACCAGCUGGCUGCAACUGUUUAUUAAAAACACAGCACUGUGCAAACACGAAAGUGGACGUAUACGGUGUGACGCCUGCCCGGUGCCGGAAGGUUAAUUGAUGGGGUUAUCGCAAGAGAAGCUCCUGAUCGAAGCCCCGGUAAACGGCGGCCGUAACUAUAACGGUCCUAAGGUAGCGAAAUUCCUUGUCGGGUAAGUUCCGACCUGCACGAAUGGCGUAAUGAUGGCCAGGCUGUCUCCACCCGAGACUCAGUGAAAUUGAACUCGCUGUGAAGAUGCAGUGUACCCGCGGCAAGACGGAAAGACCCCGUGAACCUUUACUACAGCUUGACACUGAACAUUGAGCCUUGAUGUGUAGGAUAGGUGGGAGGCUUUGAAGCGUGGACGCCAGUCUGCGUGGAGCCAACCUUGAAAUACCACCCUUUAAUGUUUGAUGUUCUAACCUGGCGCCGUGAUCCGGCGUGGGGACAGUGUCUGGUGGGUAGUUUGACUGGGGCGGUCUCCUCCCAAAGUGUAACGGAGGAGCACGAAGGUCAGCUAAUCCUGGUCGGACAUCAGGAGGUUAGUGCAAUGGCAUAAGCUGGCUUGACUGCGAGAGUGACGGCUCGAGCAGGUGCGAAAGCAGGUCAUAGUGAUCCGGUGGUUCUGUAUGGAAGGGCCAUCGCUCAACGGAUAAAAGGUACUCCGGGGAUAACAGGCUGAUACCGCCCAAGAGUUCAUAUCGACGGCGGUGUUUGGCACCUCGAUGUCGGCUCAUCACAUCCUGGGGCUGAAGUAGGUCCCAAGGGUAUGGCUGUUCGCCAUUUAAAGUGGUACGCGAGCUGGGUUUAGAACGUCGUGAGACAGUUCGGUCCCUAUCUGCCGUGGGCGCUGGAGAAUUGAGGGGGGCUGCUCCCAGUACGAGAGGACCGGAGUGGACGCAUCACUGGUGUUCGGGUUGUCAUGCCAAUGGCACUGCCCGGUAGCUAAAUGCGGAAGAGAUAAGUGCUGAAAGCAUCUAAGCACGAAACUUGCCCCGAGAUGAGUUCUCCCUGACUCCUUGA
rnacentral:rRNA from 1 species